rnacentral:rRNA from 1 species
GUAAGAAGUUGAGUGGCGGACGGGUGAGUAACACGUGGGUAACCUGCCUAAAAGAAGGGGAUAACACUUGGAAACAGGUGCUAAUACCGUAUAUCUCUAAGGAUCGCAUGAUCCUUAGAUGAAAGAUGGUUCUGCUAUCGCUUUUAGAUGGACCCGCGGCGUAUUAACUAGUUGGUGGGGUAACGGCCUACCAAGGUGAUGAUACGUAGCCGAACUGAGAGGUUGAUCGGCCACAUUGGGACUGAGACACGGCCCAAACUCCUACGGGAGGCAGCAGUAGGGAAUCUUCCACAAUGGACGCAAGUCUGAUGGAGCAACGCCGCGUGAGUGAAGAAGGUCUUCGGAUCGUAAAACUCUGUUGUUAGAGAAGAACACGAGUGAGAGUAACUGUUCAUUCGAUGACGGUAUCUAACCAGCAAGUCACGGCUAACUACGUGCCAGCAGCCGCGGUAAUACGUAGGUGGCAAGCGUUGUCCGGAUUUAUUGGGCGUAAAGGGAACGCAGGCGGUCUUUUAAGUCUGAUGUGAAAGCCUUCGGCUUAACCGGAGUAGUGCAUUGGAAACUGGAAGACUUGAGUGCAGAAGAGGAGAGUGGAACUCCAUGUGUAGCGGUGAAAUGCGUAGAUAUAUGGAAGAACACCAGUGGCGAAAGCGGCUCUCUGGUCUGUAACUGACGCUGAGGUUCGAAAGCGUGGGUAGCAAACAGGAUUAGAUACCCUGG